AUUGAACGCUGGCGGCAGGCUUAACACAUGCAAGUCGAGCGGGGGAGGUUGCUUCGGUAACUGACCUAGCGGCGGACGGGUGAGUAAUGCUUAGGAAUCUGCCUAUUAGUGGGGGACAACACUCCGAAAGGGAUGCUAAUACCGCAUACGCCCUACGGGGGAAAGCAGGGGAUCUUCGGACCUUGCGCUAAUAGAUGAGCCUAAGUCGGAUUAGCUAGUUGGUGGGGUAAAGGCCUACCAAGGCGACGAUCUGUAGCGGGUCUGAGAGGAUGAUCCGCCAGACUGGGACGGAGACACGGCCCAGACUCCUACGGGAGGCAGCAGUGGGGAAUAUUGGACAAUGGGCGGAAGCCUGAUCCAGCCAUGCCGCGUGUGUGAAGAAGGCCUUUUGGUUGUAAAGCACUUUAAGCGAGGAGGAGGCUCUUAAGGUUAAUACCCUUGAUGAGUGGACGUUACUCGCAGAAUAAGCACCGGCUAACUCUGUGCCAGCAGCCGCCGCGGUAA
rnacentral:rRNA from 1 species